rnacentral:rRNA from 1 species
UCGGGAAUUUUGGGCAAUGGGCGAAAGCCUGACCCAGCAACGCCGCGUGAAGGAUGAAAUCUUUCGGGAUGUAAACUUCGGAAGAAUAGGAAGAAUAAAAUGACGGUACUAUUUUUAAGGUCCGGCUAACUACGUGUCAGCAGCCGCGGUAAUACGUAGGGACCAAGCGUUGUUCGGAUUUACUGGGCGUAAAGGGCGCGUAGGCGGCGUAAUAAGUCACUUGUGAAAUCUCCGGGCUUAACUCGGAGCGGCCAAGUGAUACUGUUAGGCUAGAGUGCAGAAAGGGCAAUCGGAAUUCUUGGUGUAGCGGUGAAAUGCGUAGAUAUCAAGAGGAACACCUGAGGCGAAGGCGGGUUGCUAGGCUGACACUGACGCUGAGGCGCGAAAGCUAGGGUAGCAAACGGGAUUAGAUACCCAUGUAGUCCCUGAGCGGGCUGGCAAGGCGCAU